ACACCGUGAAUGCGGGAUGGAGAAGCAGUAUCCCCCGCAGCGGGCUCCUUUUGGGGCUGUGAUGUUUUAUAGCCUGGCAAGGGAAUGCCAAGACUCCCUGAGGGUCUGGCUCACUUUAUCAGGGUCCCGCUGCUUGAGAGCAGGAGCCUGGGAGGCGAGGUGUGUAGACGCCCCAGCCGGGGCCCCUCGAGGCUGCAGUCGGGCUGAGGCAUUCAUUCCUCCGCAGGGGCCCCGGGGCGGGAGCAGCGGGAGCAUGGCCAUGUCGGCUGCAUGCUUUCUCCUGCUGCCUGGCUCUCUCUGUUCCCCUCCUGAACCCCUUCUGCCUCUCCUGCGUUCCCCUUCCUCACUCCCCUCCUUCACCUUCAGAGCCAGCGGACUUCUCCAGGCUGCACGCAGGCGAGGGGCUGGCAAUUGCAGGUCAAGCAGGCUCAGCUCGGAGCAGCGGGAGGAAAGAUUUACGGUUCCUCCCUGCCCUGCUUGAUGGACAAUUAAAGCCGUGCACGGUUGGAGGAGAGCAGUGUCGUGAAGAGUCAGGAUGGUCAGAAUAAAUCAGUCACCUCCACUUAGACGGCUGAGCUAGACUGCUUCCCUGGGCCUUCGAGGUGGGAGCCCCCUGGGGUGUGGAUUUGAAGGUUCCUGAAUGGACUGUUCAAGGGUUUGACAUACUCUGAGCUCCAUCAGAGUCAGAGCCUGAAGACCCCGGGGGUCUCCUCACAAAUGGGGCAUGUGCUGUAGGGAAUUAAGGGAAAAUUCUGGAUAAUGUGUUUAGAGGGCGUUUUGUCUCCAUGGUACCUGGCAUCUGCAAGAGCCUCAAACCUGAAUGUUUGGAAGUCAGGAUAGUGGACCCCCACCUGCAAGCAGAGCGUGUGCACACAUGUGCUUGUGCACAUGUAUGUGUGCACAGGUGCGUGCAUAUCAGUGCACACAUGUGCACAUGUGUAGAUUGUACAUGCAUGUGCCUGUGGGUAGAGUGUGCACGCAGGCAUGCAUGUGCAUCCUGUAUGUGUGCAUGUGUGUGCAUGUAUGUGAACGUGCACAAGUGUGUUUCUGCAUUGGUGUGUGUACCCACAUGUACCUGUGUGUGUGCAUGAGCAUAUGUGUGUCGUACAUGUGUGAGCACAUGUGUGUGUCAUGUAUGGGUACUGGGGCUUGCCUCUUGGACAUCGCAGGCUCCACUUGUGUCUUUAAACACACACGCCCCUCUGCAAGGCUGCCGGGAGCUGGGCUUCUGAGCAUCCGCCAAGCCCUGCGGCCGUCCUUCUUCAUUUGUUCUGUGUGUUAUUUCAGUACCUUGAAGACUCUGGCAAUUUCCUCAAGGAAACUUUGUCUUUGUGGAAACGAGAUGCCAGCACUCCUCGGCCCUCCCACUGGCUAAUUGAUGAUAUGAUCCCGCGUGGGAGACUUGCCAUUCCUGGAAACGCUCUUUAUUUCCUGGGCCCCCCCGGCCCCCUGCCUGCCAUCGUCUGAUUUCUACGAGCUGCUGCACGUGAGGUGCAGGGCCAGGCAUUUGCUGUGACUCAGCCCAUGUGCCAGGCCUUUCAUUAACUUGGAUACUACAAUUAUGAGUGCCAAGAGACUGCGAGGGCCAUUUAGGAUUUUUCUCCCUUUAAGAAAAUAUUCCUUUUUCCCCAGCCAGGUAGCCCAGCCCUUUGCCUCUGCAGCUGUGGCCCAAGCACUCCUCAGCUCUCCCGGCACCAACCUGCAACAAACUCUUGUUGGGGGGCUGCGGCUCCUCCAUGGUUCUGUCGGAGGUGCUCAGCGGGUGGUCAAGGCAGCCUGACCUUGGGAGCCGCAGGACGUGGCCUGCUGCGGCGGCUUCACGGUCACAGCACGAAUAGCAGCAUGCGUGCUUUUGUGCCUGUGUGAGCACAUGCACACCCCAUCGGCACACGCGAGGAUGACCUUUGGCACAGAACACCUGCUGCUGUGGCCUGCACAGAGAAGGGCUGACCCCAGGACAGCGGCUCCCAUUCGCCUCCACCAAGGCCAGCUGGACUCUUCAAGGGACCCUGAGGAUCUCCGAGUGUGGGCAGUCGGGUCGUGUCAUGCGGGGGUGGAGUUGCAUGGGUCUCCUGUGCACCUACACACGCGUGCUGGCCAGCAUAUUAGUAUGUUCGCAGGGGUAGCCUGACCCUCUUCCCCCACUUAGGAGAUGCGUGCAUGGAAACUUGCCCCCGUGGGUGUCUUGGGAUGAAUAUUUGGGAUCCUGGUGGAUCUGGAUUGCAGAGUAGCUGGGCACUGUAAGAGUUCCUGUAAAUGUUGGGUCUCCUGGGGAGGGGGAGGCAUGGAGCACUUCUCACUUCUGUUGGUGGGUGGAAGGUUGGGGAGGGGCCACACUGGCUCAAGGUCAUCCCACAGGGAGCAACCUAAUCUGAGGACAGACCUGCCUGGGACUCUGUGGAACUGAGAUGAGACACUUGCUUCCCCCUUCAAAGGUCAUGAGAUUCUGGGUACACGGGCUGCCUUCCAUACGGUACCCACAAAGCUCAUUAAAAGCACCAUUCAGAGGCCUUGUUAUCUCAAAACGGAAGGCAAGAGUCCAACCCACUAAGCACCAAAUAACAACUCAACAACUCAAAAACUUAUUUUUUUAAACUUCCUGGAGUUGCCAUGGUUACUUGCACGGUCACUGCGUCUCUGUUGCUCUACGUGGAGCUUCUUGGAGGAGGAAUUAAAGCCUCCAAGGUUCACCCCUUG
rnacentral:sRNA from 1 species